UAUUUGAGCAAUUCUUUUAUUGGACAAGAUUCUGAAUUAGAUUGGAUCUAAUAAUAAUUGCACUGAGUCCAGUUAGAGACCUCAGUUAGGUAUUAUUUGAAUGUGGGUUUCUCUAAGUCUAAGAAGCUUGAAACUUUAUUUUCUGGGACACUGGUAAUUUUAUGCAAGAUUACCAGUCCAGAAUUGGUGUAUGUUUGGAAAAAUGGAUUGGCCAUAUUAAAGACAACUUUUAAUUACAGCAGCCACUGAGGUUUCUUAUUAAAGAGAGACUGAAGAUAUUCGGGACAGUUAUAAACAUAUUCUGUGACACAUUGCAAACUGUACCAUGAGAAAACAUAUACUUAUAGAAAUUAUGAUUCGUAGACUUCCAAUCCACACAUUGCUGGUGUGACUGACAGUUCACAAAUUGCCAGUGUUUGCUUGAAAUUAAGUUGCCAUGAGAUGAACAGCUUUUCUCUGCCAAGCCCUUCUGCCAUAAUUGUUCACCUCUGGCCCUGAUCAGUGGAGUUGAUCAACCAUCGACUGAAACCUUUGAAACUGUCACUCCAACUGGAAGCUUGGUGAGCAAUACCAAAAAGACUUUAAAGCACCAAGAGUGAAUCAUAAGGUACACAAGGAGUUUUGGAAACUAUGAUGUAUUAAUGUAGGUUCAUCAAGUGCUACAAAUGCACCACUCUGUUGGGGUAUGUGGAUAACGGAGAAGACCAUUAUUGGAGGAAGAAGAUGGAAAAGGGUGAAUGUCUCUUAUGGAAACAUAUUUCCAGUCUUUUAGGCUUUUGAUGCUCCUUUGGGUAACAGUGACUGAUGAUGGAGAUCAUCAUUUAUGAUACAUGUGUGAAUUCCCUGAGGUUUCUUGUGCAUGGGGCAUGGGGUCUUCCCUUCCAUGUUUCCCUGAUGUGAGAGAUCAAGUUGAAUUUGACUUCUUCCUAAUCACUACCGAAAGUCUGUCCCUGACAAUUCAUUCCAAAGUCUCCCACUCCUGGCAUAUGUAGGUGGCCAUCUUACACUUCAAACUGGUAACAUGAUUCCAGAAUGACUGCUUUCCAUUGUACUACUGCCUCAUGGUAGUAGUACACUCUCCAGAGUUACCUGCCUCCUUCUGUUCCAUAAUCUUUCUUGCACUCUCUUUUCUCCUUCCUUGUUCAAUUCAAUGCUGAGGAAGAUCAAUAAAUCCACUUUUUAAGCUAAUGAAUAUAUAUAUAUAUUCAUUCAAAAGUUAUACUUUUGUACAAAUUCAUAGACUUUAAAGCACCAAGAGUGAAUCAUAAGGUACACAAGGAGUUUUGGAAACUAUGAUGUAUUAAUGUAUUAAUGUAGGUUCAUCAAGUGCUACAAAUGCACCACUCUGUUGGGGUAUGUGGAUAACAGAGAAGACCAUUAUUGGUAAGUAUAGGACAUACAUGGAUUUUUAUAUAUAUAUAUAAACCUUCUGUGAAAAAGUCUUGAAUUUCCCUUACUUCAAAAAUUUGUUUCAGGAAUGGGAGUCAAAAAAUAAAUAAAUAAA